rnacentral:rRNA from 1 species
AACUGAAUACAUAGGUUAACAGAGCAAACCGGGGGAACUGAAACAUCUAAGUACCCCGAGGAGAAGAAAUCAACCGAGAUUCCGGUAGUAGCGGCGAGCGAACCUGGAUUAGCCCUUAAGCACUCGGUGAAGUAGGUGAACAAGCUGGAAAGCUUGGCGAUACAGGGUGAUAGCCCCGUAACCGACGCUUCAUCGAGCGUGAAAUCGAGUAGGGCGGGACACGUGAUAUCCUGUCUGAAUAUGGGGGGACCAUCCUCCAAGGCUAAAUACUCCUGACUGACCGAUAGUGAACCAGUACCGUGAGGGAAAGGCGAAAAGAACCCCUGUGAGGGGAGUGAAAUAGAACCUGAAACCGUGUACGUACAAGCAGUAGGAGCACCUUCGUGGUGUGACUGCGUACCUUUUGUAUAAUGGGUCAGCGACUUAUAUUCAGUGGCAAGGUUAACCGUAUAGGGGAGCCGUAGCGAAAGCGAGUCUUAACUGGGCGCUCAGUCUCUGGAUAUAGACCCGAAACCGGGUGAUCUAGCCAUGGGCAGGUUGAAGGUUGAGUAACAUCAACUGGAGGACCGAACCGACUAAUGUUGAAAAAUUAGCGGAUGACUUGUGGCUAGGGGUGAAAGGCCAAUCAAACUCGGAGAUAGCUGGUUCUCCCCGAAAGCUAUUUAGGUAGCGCCUCGGACGAAUACUACUGGGGGUAGAGCACUGUUAAGGCUAGGGGGUCAUCCCGACUUACCAACCCUUUGCAAACUCCGAAUACCAGUAAGUACUAUCCGGGAGACACACGGCGGGUGCUAACGUCCGUCGUGGAGAGGGAAACAACCCAGACCGCCAGCUAAGGUCCCAAAGUAUUGCUAAGUGGGAAACGAUGUGGGAAGGCUCAGACAGCUAGGAUGUUGGCUUAGAAGCAGCCAUCAUUUAAAGAAAGCGUAAUAGCUCACUAGUCGAGUCGGCCUGCGCGGAAGAUGUAACGGGGCUAAGCAAUACACCGAAGCUGCGGCAAUAUCUUUUAGAUAUUGGGUAGGGGAGCGUUCUGUAAGCCGUUGAAGGUGAAUCGUAAGGUUUGCUGGAGGUAUCAGAAGUGCGAAUGCUGACAUGAGUAACGACAAAGGGGGUGAAAAACCUCCUCGCCGGAAGACCAAGGGUUCCUGUCCAACGUUAAUCGGGGCAGGGUGAGUCGACCCCUAAGGUGAGGCCGAAAGGCGUAAUCGAUGGGAAACGGGUUAAUAUUCCCGUACUUCUGACUAUUGCGAUGGGGGGACGGAGAAGGCUAGGUGGGCCAGGCGACGGUUGUCCUGGUUCAAGUGCGUAGGCUUGAGAGUUAGGUAAAUCCGGCUCUCUCUAAGGCUGAGACACGACGUCGAGCUGCUACGGCAGUGAAGUCAUUGAUGCCAUGCUUCCAGGAAAAGCCUCUAAGCUUCAGAUAGUCAGGAAUCGUACCCCAAACCGACACAGGUGGUCGGGUAGAGAAUACCAAGGCGCUUGAGAGAACUCGGGUGAAGGAACUAGGCAAAAUGGUACCGUAACUUCGGGAGAAGGUACGCUCUUGAUGGUGAAGUCCCUCGCGGAUGGAGCUGACGAGAGUCGCAGAUACCAGGUGGCUGCAACUGUUUAUUAAAAACACAGCACUGUGCAAAAUCGCAAGAUGACGUAUACGGUGUGACGCCUGCCCGGUGCCGGAAGGUUAAUUGAUGGGGUUAGCGCAAGCGAAGCUCUUGAUCGAAGCCCCGGUAAACGGCGGCCGUAACUAUAACGGUCCUAAGGUAGCGAAAUUCCUUGUCGGGUAAGUUCCGACCUGCACGAAUGGCGUAAUGAUGGCCACGCUGUCUCCACCCGAGACUCAGUGAAAUUGAAAUCGCUGUGAAGAUGCAGUGUACCCGCGGCUAGACGGAAAGACCCCGUGAACCUUUACUACAGCUUGACACUGAACAUUGAACCUACAUGUGUAGGAUAGGUGGGAGGCUAUGAAGACGUGACGCCAGUUGCGUUGGAGCCGUCCUUGAAAUACCACCCUUGUAUGUUUGAUGUUCUAACUUAGACCCAUUAUCUGGGUUGAGGACAGUGCCUGGUGGGUAGUUUGACUGGGGCGGUCUCCUCCCAAAGAGUAACGGAGGAGCACGAAGGUGGGCUAAUCACGGUUGGACAUCGUGAGGUUAGUGCAAUGGCAUAAGCCCGCUUAACUGCGAGAAUGACGGUUCGAGCAGGUGCGAAAGCAGGUCAUAGUGAUCCGGUGGUUCUGUAUGGAAGGGCCAUCGCUCAACGGAUAAAAGGUACUCCGGGGAUAACAGGCUGAUACCGCCCAAGAGUUCAUAUCGACGGCGGUGUUUGGCACCUCGAUGUCGGCUCAUCACAUCCUGGGGCUGAAGUCGGUCCCAAGGGUAUGGCUGUUCGCCAUUUAAAGUGGUACGCGAGCUGGGUUUAGAACGUCGUGAGACAGUUCGGUCCCUAUCUGCCGUGGGCGUUGGAAGAUUGAAGGGGGCUGCUCCUAGUACGAGAGGACCGGAGUGGACGAACCUCUGGUGUUCGGGUUGUGUCGCCAGACGCAUUGCCCGGUAGCUAAGUUCGGAAUUGAUAAGCGCUGAAAGCAUCUAAGCGCGAAGCGAGCCCUGAGAUGAGUCUUCCCU